UACGAGAGGCCCAAACGUUAUUCGGAAUUACUGGGCUUAAAGAGUUCGUAGGCGGCGCAGUAAGUAGGGUGUGAAAGCCCUCGGCUUAACCGAGGAAUUGCGCUCUAAACUACUGUGCUUGAGGAACCUAGAGGUGAGCAGAACAGAUGGUGGAGCAGUGAAAUGCGUUGAUAUCAUCUGGAAUACCGGAGGCGAAGGCGGCUCACUGGGGGUUUUCUGACGCUGAGGAACGAAAGCCAGGGUAGCGAACGGG
rnacentral:rRNA from 1 species